GGGACAGAGUCACAGUGGGUACACAAAAAGGUUCCUUGUUAAAUAAACUAUGUAAAACAUAGGAACCUUUUUGUGUACCCACUGUGACUCUGUCCC